UCCAUACAUUUGGUGCUUUGUGACUCUCUUGUUGAAUCUUCUACUUCAUGGGAAAUUUAAAGGUAAACAUCAGUCACUGAGGUUGUUCAAACAACUAAACAGGGAGGGGGGAAAGUUGGGGGAAGGCAGGAUCCUACCUACCUUCCCAUGAUCAGCACCUCUUCAGGGCUCCACCACCCGCACGCCCACAUGAGCAGCACAGAAGAUGCCUGAUGUGAGAACAAGAGGAGGAAGUCCUCCCACAUCCCAUAAUGCACCACGCAGGCAGUGGAGAGGCAGCCCUUGCCAGUGCAGCAGGGCUCCUCUUCCUGGCUAUGCUUUCCACAGGAAUCUAUGGUCACCAGUCCUGAGAGCCUUCGGAACGGCAGUGGCAGCACAGAUGACCAAAUAAAAAGUGGUCCAACAGAGGUGCUGGGAAACAAGAUGACAGAAAGAAUAUUGGACAGAUUUGUGGCACCUGAAGGCAGCACUAAAAGGAGUUACUGAGUGACCACAUGUGUAACAGUUCAGCAUCUGACGAUGGGUUAUCUCCCACAAAAGUUGACUGCUGCAGCACCCUGUGUACACUGUCCAGAGUUUCAGCAUGGAAGAAAGGCAGAAGAAAGUG